UACAGAGGUGGCAAGCGUUGUUCGGAAUUACUGGGCGUAAAGGGCGCGUAGGCGGUUCGAUAAGUCCUGUGUGAAAUCCCUCGGCUCAACUGAGGAACUGCACGGGAGACUGUCGGGCUUGAGUUCGGGAGAGGGAAGCGGAAUUCUGGGUGUAGCGGUGAAAUGCGUAGAUAUCAGGAGGAACACCGGUGGCGAAGGCGGGUCUCUGGGCCGUAACUGACGCUGAGGAGCGAAAGCGUGGGGAGCGAACAGG
rnacentral:rRNA from 1 species